rnacentral:tRNA from 1 species
GUUUUAAUAGUUUAAAUAAAACAUUGAUUUUGUAAUUCAAAAAUAAAUAAAAAUUUUUAAAACU